rnacentral:sRNA from 1 species
GUCACGGGAUCGUUAGGCCGCACCAUAAUCAUGCCUGAUUUCGGCCAAGCCCCCGCCGUGCUGAGUUGCGAAAAAACAAUCUCUGCGUUGGCCCGAUUCUCCGGCUCCGGAUUCCUCAGCCCCCAGCCCCCCGGAGCUACGAGGAUCGGGCCGUUCGCAGAGAACCUCUCUCUUUCACAGAGAGCUGACGAACGUGAAUCCGAUGACGAGAGGCAGGCCGGCGCGAGCCGGUUUUUUA